ACAAAGUUUCCCAGAAGGCCAUGUAUGCUCUGAAUCAGCAGCCAAUAUAUGGUACUAUUUCUCCCAUACCCAGGAUUCAUGGGUCCAGGAAUCAGGGGUAGAAGUGAAAGUGGCACCGCUCACCAUCACCCCUAGUGAUCCACUAGCAAAAUACUUGCUUCCUGCUCCUGUGACAUUACAUUCUGCCAGCCUGGAAGUCUUAGUUACAGAGAGAGGAAUGCUGCCACCAGGAGACAGAACAACAAUUCCAUUAAAGUGGAAGUUAAGAUUGCCACCUCGACACUUUGAGCUCCUCCUACCUUUAAGUCAAUAGGCUAAGAAGGGAGUUAUAGUGUUGACUGGGGUGACUGACCUGAACUAUCAAGAUGAAAUCAGUCUACUACUCCACAAUGAAGGGAGAAAAAAGGGAGACCAAGGGAGACACAACACAUCUCUCUUCCAAAAGGCCAGGCCAGAUCACUGAUAAAAGCAGCGUUUUUCCUGACAAUUACGUGGUGAGUCAUACCUAUAGCGUCUUAUCUUUCCUUUUGUUUAUCUUUCUUCUGUUGAUGACUUUUUAGAUUUGCUUUGCUUUGGGGACUGCAGCAGAAUCUAUUGGUACCUGCAUUCGUUUGCUAGGAUUGCCGUGAUGAAUGCCACAGACUUGGUGGCUGAAGCAACAGAAAUGUGUUUUCUCAUCAUUCUGCAGGCUAGAAAUCCAAGAUCAAUGUGUCAGCAUGGUUGGUUUCUUCUGAGGUCUUUCUCCUUGGCUGUAUAUUAGUCCAUUUUUACGCUGCUGAUGAAGACAUACCUGACACUGGGUAAUUUAUAAAGAAAAAGAGGUUUAAUGGACCCAGUUCCAUGUGGCUGAGGAGCCUUCACGUGGCAGAAGGCGAGGAAAGAACAAAGGCACAUCUUAAAUGGCAGCAUAUAAGAGACAAUGAAAUGCAAGCAAAAGGGGAAACCCCUUAUAAAACCAU
rnacentral:lncRNA from 1 species